rnacentral:misc_RNA from 1 species
AAUGCACCAUUUGGCUGGUCACAAAAACAUCGUUUCCAUCAAGGGUGCUUAUGAGGAUCCUUUGUAUGUUCAUAUUGUCAUGGAACUUUGUGGUGGCGGUGAAUUGUUUGACCGCAUAAUUCAAAGAGGACACUACACCGAGAGAAAGGCUGCCGAUUUGACUAAAAUUAUUGUGGGUGUUGUUGAGGCAUGCCAUUCACUUGGAGUUAUGCAUAGAGAUCUCAAACCUGAGAAUUUCUUGUUGGUUAAUAAGGAUGAUGAUUUCUCUCUCAAGGCCAUUGAUUUUGGACUCUCUAUUUUCUUUAAGCCAGGACAAAUAUUCACAGAUGUUGUUGGUAGUCCAUAUUAUGUGGCUCCUGAGGUGCUUUUGAAGCAUUAUGGUCCAGAAGCAGAUGUUUGGACAGCAGGGGUCAUACUCUAUAUCCUGCUAAGUGGAGUUCCACCAUUCUGGGCUGAAACACAGCAGGGGAUAUUUGAUGCAGUUCUGAAAGGGCACAUUGAUUUUGACUCAGAUCCUUGGCCUCUAAUAUCAGAGAGUGCAAAGGAUCUCAUCCGGAAGAUGUUAUGCAUGCGACCCCCAGAGCGGUUAACUGCUCAUGAAGUAUUAUGUCAUCCUUGGAUUUGUGAAAAUGGUGUUGCUCCUGAUAGAGCACUUGAUCCUGCUGUACUUUCUCGCCUCAAACACUUUUCUGCAAUGAACAAAUUAAAAAAGAUGGCUCUGCGGGUGAUUGCUGAAAGUUUGUCAGAGGAGGAGAUUGCCGGUCUU